UGACACGGCUUUGGGAAUAUUUUGUCUAAAUAUUGGUGUAGUUGCUUUCAGGGCCCUCCCACGUCAGGAGAACCACAACAAAGAGUAACAGUCGCACAAACUCGAUCCUGAUAAAAAGGACAUUUGGCAGCGAAUGAAUGCCGACUGUAAUCUCACACUGUUAACUGCUGAGGAAGUUUCAGUCUCCUUUCAGACUCUGAGUUUACUGAACUUGUGUGUCCGAUUGUAUCAUGAUUACGUAAUUUGAUCAGACAUGCAAAUACAAUAUAAUAUCACAGUUUGACAACAAAUACACCAAUAACUUCAGCACAGAGACAUUUAUUAGAUUAGAUCUGUGGAAAGUGGGACAGACGCACAUUUAUGCCAUUUUCUGUGACCUGCUUUUGACAACUGACCAUUUGAACGGACUACACAACACUCGCAGUUGUCACAGCGCUGUCGUUGUCAGCCAGGAUUAUUCUGCACUGACUGCCCGUAUUGUUGUUACACCUACUCAACAUUUCAAGUGUCUGUGAAUUGAUUUUCCGUGUGAUAAAUAUAUUUGGCUUCCUGGUUAGAAACUCAUCUCAUGGAUACUCAAACUCAGGAAAAAUUACAUAAUCUAGAAAAGGACUUGAGUAAACUAGAGAGACAACACAAAAAAGAUACCCAACUAGAUAUUACUAAAAAAAUUGGUGAAAUUAAAAGCCAGAUAAAAGAAAUCUAUGAGACAGAUAUUCAGAAGAAAUUAACAUUUUUGAAACAGAGGUACUAUGAAGCGGGCAGUAAAGCAGCAAAAAACUUAGCAUACAAACUAAGAAAACAACAAGCAGAGAGAGCUGUGCAUGAAAUUAAAGACCCAACAACCAAACAAGUGAAGCAUGACUUCCAGGAAAUUUGUAGCUGUUUUGAAGAGUAUUAUAAGAACCUAUACUCCCAGACGGUCCAUGAAGGGGAUAAAUCACCUGAUUCUAUGCUUGCUUCACUCAACCUACCAACAGUUACUGAAGAUCAGAAUAGAAUCUUAACAUCUAAAGUGACCAUGGGGGAACUACAAAAGGCAAUCUCAAGGCUCAAACCAGAUAAGUCCCCAGGUUCAGAUGGGUUCACCUCAGGCUGGUACAAAACAUUUAGUGACUGUUUAUCCCCAGUAUUAUUGAGAACACUCAAUUGGGUCUUAGAGAAAGGAGAGAUGCCCCCCUCCUGGAAGGAAGCAAUUAUCACCGUAAUUCCAAAAGAAGGAAAAGAUAAGACUGAUUGCUCUAAUUUCCGCCCUAUUAGUCUUUUGAAUCAGGAUUACAAAAUCUUCACAUCAAUUUUAGCAAAACGUCUAGAAAACAUACUCCCAGAUAUUAUACAGCUAGAUCAAACAGGUUUUAUCAGACAAAGGCAAACACAGGAUAAUGUAAGGAGGACAUUACACAUAAUUAACUAUAUAAAUAAAUACAACUUGGAAGCUGUCUUGGUGGGGUUGGAUGCGGAAAAGGCAUUCGACUCAGUCAAUUGGUCUUUCCUUUACAAGGCAUUAGAAAGAUUUCAAUUCCAUAAAAAAUUUGUGAAGAUAAUACAAACUAUAUACGACAAACCAUGUGCUAGAAUACGGAUUAAUGGAGGACUAUCAAAUUCUUUUAAACUAGGAAGGGGAUGUCGACAGGGCUGCCCUGUUUCCCCGCUCUUAUUUGCUAUUUUUAUAGAGCCCCUCAGUCAGUGGAUAAGACAGAACGAGAAGAUAAGGGGGAUCAGAGUGGCUCAUGUAGAGCACAAAAUUGCCCUAUUCGCAGACGACAUUUUGAUAUACUUGGGACACCCAUCCACUUCUUUUCAAGAACUACUCUCGACCCUGCGGGAAUAUGGACUAUUCUCAGGAUAUAAACUCAACACCCAUAAAUCUCAAAUUUUGACAUUUAAUUAUUCUCCUAGUCAAAAAAUUAGAGCGGAAUUCGAUGUUAACUGGGAAUUAAAAUUAAUCAGGUAUCUAGGUGUGAAUAUUCCAAAAGAUCUACACAUGAUUGUAUCAAAAAACUAUGACCCCCUAAUUUCUAAAAUUAAAUCUGAUGUGACUAGAUGGGACCUAGUGCCAUUCUUAGGGUUGGGACAGAGGGUGGAAGCAAUAAAAAAGAAUGUGCUUCCUAGAUUACUCUAUCUAUUCCAAAAUGUACCUGCAGAAAUUCCAAGGGGAAAAUUCCAGGAAGUAGACAAAUUAAUAUCACGUUUUGUUUGGCAGGGGAAGAGGCCAAGAAUUCGCUUCUCAACUCUCCAACUAGUCAAAGACAAAGGGGGCCUCUCUCUCCCGAACAUCCACAAUUACUACCGAGCAGCACAAAUUAAAGUUCUGGUUGACAUUUGUAAUCCGUCUUAUAAUGCCAGGUGGAAAGAGAUAGAACUACAAAUUUCCAGUGACAUACCGCUACAAGCAAUUAUAGUGGACAGUGGACUGGUUUGUCAUCUUAAAGACACUAAUCCGUGGCUAAGGAUAUCAACUAACAUUUUGCACAAAAUAAUUAGGGAAAAUAAAGCUAAAGAACCAUAUUGGAUCUUGAGAUGGAUAGGAUACGAUUCUGAAUUCAUACCAAAUACACUAGACACAGGUUUCAAAAAGUGGGCAGACAAAGGGUUAACAAAAUACAAUGACCUUUAUGAGGGAGGCACACUGCGACAAUUCCAAGACCUUAAAAAUUGUUUUGGUUUAACCAAUCAGGACUUUUAUAAAUUUUUACAACUUAGGCAUUAUGUACAGAAAAAAAUGAAUAGACAAGAGUGGCAAACAACCAAAUGGGGUAUUCUGAAGAUUUUUCUACUCAGUUUUAGGUCGGACCCUGGUCGUGGAAACAUAUCAAAGAUAUACAAGGUGUUACAAGAGUUAGUGGGGGCGGACACUGCAUACAUAAAGGAGAAAUGGGAGAAAGAGAGUAGUAUAACAAUACACCCGGAGACAUGGGAAAAAAUAUUUGUACAACAAUGGAAAAGUACCUCUUCAAUCUCUUGGAGAGAAUUUGGGUGGAAAAACACAGUUCGUUUUUUUAGAGCUCCAGCUCAAAUGAUCUCUCAAAAUACAUCAUGUUGGAGACUCUGUGGCAACAACAAGGCAACUCAUUUCCACAUGUUCUGGGACUGCCCUACAAUUUCAAAAUAUUGGCAAGACACCAAGACUAUCAUGGAAAAAGUCUUGAGAGUAGCGAUCCCCCUAGAGUUUGAGACCUUAUAUUUGGGGACAAGACCAGACACUGUAAAGGGUUGGAGAAUAAAUACAUGUAUAAUAUUCUUCUACUUGCUAGUAAGAAAGCAAUUACAAGGAGAUGGCUGACAAAAGAUCCACCUUCAGCCAAGGACUGGAUCAAGGUGGUCCAAGAUAUUUAUGACAUGGAGAAGCUAACAUUCAUUCUUAGACUUGAAAAAGACAAGUUUGAGAGUCUAUGGAAAACCUGGACAAACUACAUUAGGGAUCACUUGGAAAAUAAUGGGUAAAAAAAAAAAAAAAAAAAAAAAAAUCUCGGACUCCACUCACAGUUGUUUUUGUGUUUUUUUUUUUUGUUUGUUUUCUGGUAUUUGUUUUCUUUUCUUAUGUUUUUUUUUUUUUUUAUGCCUUUUCAUACUUGCACAAAAUGUGUACUGACAUUAUAAUUAAUAUGUCCGCAGAUUGAUACCUUUGUUAUCUUACUUAUACAUCAUUAUUUAAAAUAUCUUAAAGCUGAGGUGUCUUCCUGCCAUGCGGCCUAAUUGUUUCCAUUUGAAUGACUUUUAAGUAAGAAUGUAUAUAUGCCUUUCUCUUCUUUCUGUUUGUCAGGUAUACAAAAGUGCAAUAUGUAUUUUUGUUCUGUUUUUUUUCUCAUGUUCUUUUAAAUGAAUAAAAAGUUUAAUAUCAAACUCAUGGAUGUCACAGCUGCGUACCGUUGCAGGUAUGGAGGAGACGAGCUGCCAAAGGAAGGAGGUGAUGCAGGACCUGGUGGGAGACGUCAGCAGAUACUGGGUCACCGAGGGACCGUUUGGACGCAUCAGAGCCAGAAACAAAGACACAGUCAUUGACCCACCUGGACUUGUUGCCAACA